GACGAACGCUGGCGGCGUGCUUAACACAUGCAAGUCGAACGGAAAGGCUCCAGCUUGCUGGAGUACUCGAGUGGCGAACGGGUGAGUAACACGUGGGUAAUCUGCCCUGCACUCUGGGAUAAGCCUGGGAAACUGGGUCUAAUACUGGAUAUGACCUUUCUCCUUAUGGGGUUUGGUGGAAAGUUUUUCGGUGUAGGAUGAGCCCGCGGCCUAUCAGCUUGUUGGUGGGGUGAUGGCCUACCAAGGCGACGACGGGUAGCCGGCCUGAGAGGGUGAUCGGCCACAUUGGGACUGAGAUACGGCCCAGACUCCUACGAGAGGCAGCAGUGGGGAAUAUUGCACAAUGGGCGGAAGCCUGAUGCAGCGACGCCGCGUGAGGGAUGACGGCCUUCGGGUUGUAAACCUCUUUCAGCAGGGACGAAGCGUAAGUGACGGUACCUGCAGAAGAAGCACCGGCUAACUAUGUG
rnacentral:rRNA from 1 species